GUCCAAAGGCCGUGAUGAGCAGGCGUGGCGAACACAGCUUGGACCGGGCACUGCUCGGAUGCUGGUCGGAUACACGGAUCCAAAGCAGAACACCAGUAACCAGCACACCUGGGCCUCGGGGAAGGCGAUCAGAUGUACUCUUCCCUACUUCUCUGGCUAAGCACAACGAAAACCCUGGACAUUCGAUAUAAACAUGACAAGACUUGGAAGGGUGGGCAGAAGACAACAGACCGACUAGGGGCCUUGGGGCUGGGGAAUGGCAUGGGGCUCAGUCCCCUGGGGUCUCUGACUCAGACAUCCCAGAGGUGGAACUGAAGCCAGCAGCCAGAAACACCAGUGGGCACAGAAAAAAUUUUAAAGCCCACCGGAGAAGUCUGCUCUCUCCAAGGGGCAGCCCAACGAGACAGGAAGCACAGUAGUAGAGUAGCCAGCAAGUACUCCAUCCAGCCAAACACUAGGGGAGAGGCGGCCCCACGCCCACCUAGCCAGGCGGGAAACAAGGCGCUCCAGCACCCUGCCAGCUGGUGUCCAGGAACGGUCACGCAGAUUCAUCUGUGCUUGCUGGCUACAGCCCGUCAGUGUCGGGACACAGAGGCAAAGAGGCACAAGAAAAGGGCUUCCACAUCACAGCCACAAAGGCAAUGCUGACUAAAAUGAGAACACAGUGUUACCAAAGCCUCCUCAAUGGUUACACGGAACAGUGACAACGCCAAAUGCUGGAGAGGAUGAGGAGAAACCGGCUCCCACUAGUGGGAAGGUAAAAUGGUACGGCCACUCUGCACGACAGUUGGCUAUUUCUUAAAAAACCAAACAGGCAACUACCGUGUGACCCAACAAUUCCACUCUUGGGCAUUUACCCCAAAGAAAUGAAGACUUCUGCUCACACAAAAACCUGUCCAUGAAUGCUGAUAGUAGCUUUAUUUGUAAUCACCAAAAACUGGAAACAACUCAGAUGCCCUUGAGUGGUAAACGAUUAACCACACUGUGGAGCACCCGUUCCAUGGACUACUAUUCAGUAAUAAAAAGAAGCAUCGCCCUACAACAACCUGCGGGAUCUCCAGGAGUCAUGCUGAGUGAAGACAGCCCAUCCCCAGAGGCUACAUGCUGGCUGAUCCCAUUCACGGCACAUUCUGGAAGACAGAAUUACAGAAACGCAGAAGGUCAUUUAUGGGUACUGCAAACUCAAGAAGCACCUGACUUGCCAAGGAAAUACCAUGCGGACACGCCUUUGGUUCACACUCUCAAUGAAAACCAAUCGGAUCCUUCGGAACGCCUGACCAACUCCAGUGGCCUUAUCACCCACCAUCACCUGGAAUUCUUACCUGCCACUCUGCCCUCUUUCAGAACAUUUCCAACUGCUAAAAUGGACCAGAACUGAAGGGGCCCAGCAGAAACAAAAAACAAGUUUUAAAAGCAACAGACAAGAGCCUGUGGAUCGCCAAAGCAGACCAGAGACGCUGGAGUACGCAUCAGCACCGCCCGCUCGGCCACUGACCACAGAGGAGCAAGGGGCAGCCCCCAGACAGGACUAAGGCCUGGAGAUGUGCUCUGCUAAAUAUAGCUCCCUGGCCUGUGGGCUUAGAAAGGUGGCCGAGAGUAAGCAUCUGACACGCUGGGUAAUUUCUGUCACUUCCUGUUACUCACAUCCUGCUGUUCUCAUGCUGCCCAAGCACUGGGUUCACAGCACACAAAUCUCUACCUUGAAGCCCCCUGAGACCAGACUAUUCAAAACAGCUGGGAUGUGCGUAGACAACGGACUUCCUUGUGGUGCUGUAUGAAACACAAAAAUAGACACCACCAGGCAAACAAGCUCCUGGACGCCCCUGUGCAAAAGCAGCCCCAGAAGGAGGCCUGCCCUCCAGGCACUCCGCAUGCUGCCCAGCCCCUGAGCAGAGAGCCCCGGCUGAGCACCAACUGAACACCCUCCUCUCUGAAGCUGUACUCAUCUCUGGCCUCGGGGCAGCCGCCCACCAAAGCUGCUGGACCUGCCUGGGGACCAGAGCACACAGGCAAGGCAAGGCCCCCUCGGCCGCGCCCCACUUCCCAGCCCUCCUGAGGACACCGGACACCAGGAACACGGGAUGCCUGGGCAGGGAGCAGAGCCAAUGGGCCCAGAGGCUAGACCCGCAUGUAAUAAAUAACCUAUCAGAAGACAGAUUUUUUAAAAGGCACAAAAAUUAAAAGUUAUACCUAAAACUGAA